rnacentral:rRNA from 1 species
UACGAAGGGUGCGAGCGUUGCUCGGAAUUACUGGGCGUAAAGCGUACGCAGGCGGUCUGCCAAGUCAGGCGUGAAAGACCGGGGCUCAACCCCGGGAAGUCGUCUGAAACUGGAAGACUUGAGUACGGGAGAGGGGUGUGGAAUUCCCAGUGUAGAAGUGAAAUUCGUAGAUAUUGGGAGGAACACCAGUGGCGAAGGCGGCGAUCUGGGCUGAUACUGACGCUGAGGUGCGAAAGCGUGGGGAGCAAACAGG